rnacentral:rRNA from 1 species
GACGAACGCUGGCGGCGUGCUUAACACAUGCAAGUCGAACGGAAAGGCCCUGCUUUUGUGGGGUGCUCGAGUGGCGAACGGGUGAGUAACACGUGAGUAACCUGCCCUUGACUUUGGGAUAACUUCAGGAAACUGGGGCUACUACCGGAUAGGAGCUCCUGCUGCAUGGUGGGGGUUGGAAAGUUUCGGCGGUUGGGGAUGGACUCGCGGCUUAUCAGCUUGUUGGUGGGGUAGUGGCUUACCAAGGCUUUGACGGGUAGCCGGCCUGAGAGGGUGACCGGCCACAUUGGGACUGAGAGACGGCCCAGACUCCUACGGGAGGCAGCAGUGGGGAAUAUUGCACAAUGGGCGGAAGCCUGAUGCAGCAACGCCGCGUGCGGGAUGACGGCCUUCGGGUUGUAAACCGCUUUCGCCUGUGACGAAGCGUGAGUUACGGUAAUGGGUAAAGAAGCACCGGCUAACUACGUG